GGAUUGAGUGGAAAGCAACUUGGGAAGACUAGAGAUCAAGCUUCAUAUGGUGGGAGUGGAGCUACUUGAUCUCAACACAAGGGUAGGUAGUUUUCUUCUCAGAAAUGUAAGGUAGGAGUGGUAGUACUUUCUGAUGGCUCUCUCCACGAAUGAAGAGGGGGUGGAGGGGUAUUUAUAGCCUCCACACAAAAUCCAACUGUUACACACAUUUGACCAAUCUCGGUCAGACCGAAGUUGACAACUCGGUGAGACCGAAAGUUCAAAUCAUGUGAACGUUGGGAUUUUCGGUGGGACCGAAAAUACAAACUCGGUGAGUCCGAUUCGUCCAAAGACAAGAGCUUGCCAAUCUCGGUGGGACCGACUUCAUCAUCUCGGUGACACCGAUUUGAUGACAGAAGGUUACAGAAGCUUGGCAACUCAAGUUUCGGUGAGACCGAGUUAAGAAUCGGAAAAUCCGAGAUUUCUAGGGUUUGGCUUUGUGGCUGAGGUGGUUCAUCUCGGUGUGACUGGGUUUGGAAAAUCGGUGGGACCGAGAUUACUUAUGAGUGUAUUAUGGAAGUGAGAGUUGCUGAUAGUUUAGGAGAUGUAUCACUAAGCACUUUGAGCAACCAGAUCAUUAUCAUAACCUCAUCCCCUUUUAAUAGUAUUGGCUUUCCUAUAGACUCAAUGUGAUCUUGGAUCACUAAACCAAAAUGGAGUCUUGAGCUUUUGCCAAUGCUUGCCUUAGCAUUUUGAGGGGUCCACCUCUUCAGUCCUUUUGCCAUGCCAAUGUGCUUGACUUUCCUGAAACAUACUUGAUAAAAGCAUUAGUCCAACCACAAAGUAUGUUGUCAUUAAUUACCAAAACCACCCAGGGAGCAAAUGUGCUUUCAAUCUCCCCCUUUUUGGUAAUUGAUGGCAACACACAAAACAAGACAUCAAAGCUUACUGAAAGAAAGACAGAAUUAUCACUAAAGCUUUGACAAACAUGUAGUACACAGGCUCCCCCUACAAGUGUGCAAGAUUUUUAUAGAUUUUGGUUUUGGACUACCACAAGCACACAAGAGAGAAAAACAAGAUGUGCUACAUGCAGCUUGGCUAUAUGCAUCAGAGCAGAUGAAAAGAAGUGAGUGAUCAUACAUAUGUGCAUGGUGAUUUCUUGCAAACAAGUAUUGACAAGCAAGUCACCAUCAUGCACAUUCUACAAGGUGCAUAUACUUACCUUGAGGUUCCUUGGCAUUGUACCUGAAGAAAUAAACUUGGGAAAACAAGAUUAGAUAACACAAGAGUAUUUCUUCAACCAACAGCAAGAACAUCAAGAGUACCAAGCCAGGGAUGACAUGUAUAAUGAGUGUCUCAUAAAGAGCACAAGCUUGAAUCAGCAAACAUGUCUCCUGAAACUAACAGAUUUUCAAUGAACUCUGAGAGAUUUUGCUUUCCAUAAGAUAUCAAUUGUGAAGAUUCCUCUCCCUUUGAGGAAAAAGCAAAAUCAAAAGAAUGAUGCCAAAUGUAAUAACCAAUGUGGAACACGGCAAAGCUUUGAUGUGAUUCUCUCCCCCUUGAGAUAAGAUUGCUCUUCUUCUCCCCCUAAAUCUUCUCUUCUCCCCUUAAGUCCCCCUAAAUCUUCUCCCCCUUUGACAUCAAGUGCCGAAAAGGACAGCAAACUAGGAAGGUCAGGAAAGAUUAAAGGAAAGAAAUGGGAUCCUUAAGAAUCACAACAGGGUAAUAAGAACACAGUUAAGCUGCAGAAGGUGAUAUCCUGAAAGAAAUAAAUCGGUGACACCGGAUUGAUAUGGAUCGGUGUGUCCGAAAGUCAGGGACUUAGGGCAGAUCCUUUUCGGUUAGACCGAAAUAACUAAAUCGGUGACGCCGAGUUUAAUUCCAAGGAAAUACAGAAUUAAUUCAGCUCACUUUGCAAGGAAUGUUUCAAAGGAUUUGCAAUGAAUUUGUAAAUGAUUUUCAAGGAAUUGAUCAGAGCCAAAAAGAAUAUUCACAAAGACAGAAGAACAGAAAAGAAAAAGAUUCCUAGAUGAAGUUUUUUUUAAGAAGAAAACUCAAUGAGAGAACAAAAUAGAAAAUAGAAAAACUCCAAAACAUAUGUACUUCAUCUAGAUAAGGGUCGGCGACAAAGUCACCUAUGUUUGAGUAUAUUGACUUAGGAGUCAAAUGAGAACAUUUGAUCAUAGGUCAUACUCAUCAUUUAAGCUCAAAAUGGGGUUGCCAUUUUUCGAUUAAGCAUUUGAUGUGAUCACAUCUUAUGAAGCUGCUUGUACUCAUGUCUUUGAGCAAAGCUUCUUAAUGAUGUGAAGAACAUACCUUGGGCUUGUUGUUGCUUUGUUCAUGUAGGUGAACUUAAUAUAGGUGCUCAUUGAGUGUGAAGUUGGAGCAUCAUUUCAACUUGUGUAGUUCAUCUUCCUACAUGGGUUAGGCAAGCAAGGAAAUACUCAAGGAUAUCCAAGAUGACAAGAGUGAAAUACUAGAUGUAUAAGGUGUCAAAAAGGAUAUGUGGAAUUUUGUUCCUUGAACUCAACAUCCCAAAGGGCUAGAUACUUGGUCAAUGACAAGAUUACUCAUGAUUUGAGUGUGUGGUAAUCUUGUGGAAUGUAGAUCAUCCAAGUACCUGCAAGGAGUUAGAUGCAAUACAAGGGGGCAAAUGUGUCCAAGACAUAUGAUCAUCGUCAUAAGAGAAAUAUCAAGGAUUAGUCAAGUAGGCUCAUGCCUUGCAUGCAUCAAUGGAGUUUUCACUCCAAGUUUGAAGCAUCAAUGAUGUUCAACUCACUCCUUAAGCGACAAAACACUUUCUCAUCAAGUGGUUUUGUAAAGAUAUCUGCAAGUAGUUUGUCAGUACGAACAUGCUUAAGAUUGAUGUCACCCUUGGCAAUGUGAUCACGAAUAAAAUGGUGACGAACUUCAAUAUGUUUCGUGCGAGAGUGUUGCACUGGAUUGUGUCCAAUCUUAAUCGCACUCUCAUUGCCACAAAGCAAAGGAACAUGUCUCACAUGUAUCCCAUAAUCCUUAAGCGUUUGUGUCAUCCAUAGCAACUGAGCACAACAUGAACCAGCAGCUAUAUAUUCUGCUUCGGCAGUGGAUAAUGAUACCGAAUUUUGUUUCUUGGAGGACCAAGAUACAAGGGAUCGACCAAGGAAUUGACAUGUACCCGAAGUUGACUUUCUAUCAACCCUGUCACCGGCAUAGUCCGAGUCGGAAUAGCCAACAAGAUCGAAAGAUGCCCUCUUAGGAUACCAAAUGCCAAAGUUAGGUGUGUGUAUCAAAUAUCUCACAAUUCUUUUAACAGCUUUAAGAUGACAUUCUUUAGGGGCUGCUUGAUAUCGAGCACACAUGCAUACACUCAACAUUAUGUCAGGACGAGAAGCACAGAGAUAUAGUAGAGAACCAAUCAUAGAUCGGUAAACCUUUUGAUCAACAGGUUCUCCAUCUUUUGUCAAGUCAUUAUGUCCACUAGUAGGCAUGGGGGUUCUCAUACCUUUGCUUUCUUGCAUGUUGAACUUCUUGAAGAGAUCCUUGGUGUACUUUGUUUGUGAGACAAAGGUACCCUCCUUAGAUUGCUUGAUUUGCAACCCAAGGAAGAAUUUGAGUUCACUCAUCAUGGACAUCUCAUACUUCUCCGACAUGAGCUUUCCAAACUUCUCGCUAAAAUGAGGGUUAGUUGAACCAAAGAUAAUAUCAUCAACAUAUAUUUGGCACACAAAUAGUUCACCAUCAACCCUUUUCGUGAAUAGCGUUGAGUCUAUUUUUCCAAUCUCAAAUCCUUUUUCAAGAAGAAAGCUAGUUAAGCAUUUGUACCAAGCUCUAGGAGCUUGUUUAAGGCCAUAAAGAGCUUUAUGAAGUUUGUAAACAUGAUUAGGCUUUUUAGGAUUCACAAAUCCAGGAGGUUGUUUCACAAAUACUUCCUCCUCAAUUUCACCAUUUAGGAAAGCACUUUUAAUAUCCAUUUGAUAGAGAGUAAUGUCAUGGUGGUUGGCAUAAGCAAGAAGAAUGCGAAUGGACUCAAGUCUAGCAACGGGGGCAUAGGUCUCACCAUAGUCCAUACCUUCGACUUGUGUGUAACCUUGAGCUACGAGACGAGCCUUGUUGCGGAUGACUUGUCCAUCUUCAUCUUGCUUGUUCCGAAACACCCAUUUGGUUCCAAUGACGUUUUGAUCAUCCUUGGGCUUCUCUACCAAAGUCCAUACAUUGUUCCUCUCGAAGUUGUGUAGCUCUUCGUGCAUCGAGUUCACCCAAUCCGGGUCUUCAAGUGCUUCUUCUACCUUCAUAGGUUCAAGACUAGAGAUAAAUGAGUAAUGCUCACAAAAGUUAGCUAAGCGAGUUUUAGAGCAAGUAAUUCUCCCGGAGUCGAUGUCGUUCAUCAUUUGUUCCACGGGAUGAUUUUUCUUGACUCUUGCUCGGACUCGGGAUAGCUUUUGUUGUGGUUGAGGCUGAGCUUCCUCAUCAUCCUCAUCUUCCUCUUCUUCUUCUUCAUUGUUGUUGGUGUUGUCUUGAGGUGGUGGAGAAGGAGGUUGUGGUGGAUCUUCUUGUUGCACUUCCUCAUCUUGGUGAGUUCCACUUGUGGAGGCCUCCAUGUUGCCUUGAGGUUCAUCUUGCCGUGAGGUAGGGGGCUCCACAUAUGUAGAUGAGGUACUCUCCUUCACUUCCAUGGGAUGGAUCUUUCCAAUAGAUAAAUCUUGAAUGGCUUCCGAUGGGUCCUUGUCUCCUACAUCAAUAGGCAUUUGCUCUACUUGCGAGCCAUUAGAUUCAUCAAACUUCACGUCUACCGUCUCUUCAACCUUUCGGGUGAAAUUGUUGUAGACACGGUAGGUGUGAGAGUUUGAUCCAUAACCGAGGAAAAAGCCUUCAUGAGUUUUAGGAGCAAAUUUGGACCGACGAUGCUUAUCAAGGAUAUAGCAUUUUGAACCAAAGACACGAAAGUAUCCCACUUGGGGUUUGUUACCGGUGAGGAGUUCGUAUGAAGUCUUGCCGAGGAGCUUAUGAAGAUAAAGCCUGUUGAUAGCAUGACAAGCUGUCUCAACCGCUUCACCCCAAAAAUGCUUCGGUGUCUUGUAUUCAUCAAGCAUCGUUCUCGCCAUCUCUAUGAGCGUUCGGUUCUUCCUCUCAACAACUCCAUUUUGUUGAGGAGUGUACGUAGCCGAGAACUCAUGUAGAAUCCCUUCCUCAUCGAGAAAACAAUCUACAUGGGCGUUCUUGAACUCCGUUCCAUUGUCACUCCGAACUUUCUUGAUCUUCACCUCAAAUUGAUUUUGGGCCUUUCUAGCAAAGGUUUUGAAGAUCCUCUGAACCUGUGAUUUGUCAUCAAGGAAAAAUACCCACGUAAAUCUGGAAUAAUCAUCAACUAUAACUAGACCAAAAGAGUUACCACCAAGGCUUUUGUAAGCAUUGGGACCGAAGAGAUCCAUAUGAAGAAGCUCAAGCGGUCUCCUUGUGGUCAUGAUGUUCUUCACGGGAUGACUUCCACCUACUUGUUUUCCUGCCUGACAAGCACUACAAAGUCUAUCUUUGUCAAAGAGAACAUCUUUAACACCAAGAAUAUGAUCACCUUUGAUUAGCUUGUCUAGAUUACGCAUACCAACAUGUCCAAGCCUUCUAUGCCAUAACCAACCUUUAGCGGAUUUAGCAAUGAAGCAAGUUCUAGGUUGGGCUUUCUUAGUGAAAUCAACAAUAUAUAGAUCACCUCUACGGAUACCGGUAAAAACCAUGUUAUGAUUGUCACGACGAAAGACUUGGCAAUCUACUUCGGUGAAUAGCACAUUGAAUCCAAAGUCAGCUAAUCUAGACACGGAAAGUAAAUUGUAUCCAAGUGAUUCAACAAGCAUGACAUUUUGAAUAGAGCUAUCAUGAGAUAUGGCCACCUUACCAAGGCCAAGUACCUUACCCUUGGAGUUGUCUCCAAAAGUCACAUACUUGCGUGGACCAUCGUUCUUUGCAAGCUCUCGAAACAUGUCUUCGUCUCCGGUCAUGUGAUCGGUGCAUCCACUAUCAAGAAUCCACUCUUUUCCACCGGAUAUGUAGUCUCUCAGAUUCGCCAUGAGAUUGAGACUCUUCAUGAUCUUGUCUAGCUCGGUGUCCGAAUCGGAGUAAUCAUCAUCAUGCUCAUGCUCAUCAUCAUAUUGACCCAUAGAUAGUUCAUCAUCAACACCUAGGUCAAUUUGACAAUGACUUGCAUUAGUUUUGUCAAUGUGACAAUAAUCAUCGGAAUGCAAUACAAGAGCAUUUCUAAUUAGAGCAUUGAUAAGAUAAGGAUCACCCUUCUUUUUCAUGAGAUCACGAAGCUCAAAGAAGCAUUUAUCAAAGUUGGGAUCAUUGGGGUGCAUCAUAUCAAAUUCAAUAGUCUUGUAUAGAAUUUCAUCAAGACCUCUCAAAGAGCAGUCCAGAUAAAGUUCUUCCAAGAACUUCCACAUAGCAUAGGCGCACUCAAAGUUUGUGACAAGCUUAAGCAAAUUAUCGGGCAAACCUCUAAUGAUAAGAUUUACAGUUCUAAGGUUACGAAGCAAAUCAAGCUCUUCAUCCAUGGUAGGGUGCAAGGGGUCAAAUGGAGGCACAUAUGGGGUUUCAACAUAUUUGCGCAAGUUAUACAUCUUAAAGAUAAUAAGCAUUUCAAUCCUCCACGAGUUAUAGGACACUCCAUUAAGAAUAGGCACUCUAUGGCUAACACUCCCAAACGUAGACACGUCCAUCUUCCUCCAAUGGUGUGUAAACCAAAGCAAUGGAAACCAAUGCUCUGAUACCAAUUGUAGGAUCGAAGAAGGUGAGAGUGUCUAGAGAGGGGUGAUUAGACUACUCGACAAGAUAAAAAUUAUGCCUUUUGACAAAGACAAGUUUUGGCAGAUUUUGCAUAUCACACAAGUCAAGUAGCAUACUACACAUGCAAUUCUAGAGUAUGGGCAGCAGAAAGUAAAUUGCACAAGUAAUAAAGAGAAGUGGAGAAGAUCAAACGCAAUUUGGAGACACGGAGAUUUUUCUCGUGGUUCCGAUAGGUGGUGCUAUCGUCAAUCCACGUUGAUGGAGACUUCAACCCACGGAGGGUAACGGCUGCGAGAGUCCACGGAGGGCUCCACCCACGAAGGGUCCAUGAAGAAGCAACCUUGUCUAUGCCAUCAUGGCCUACGCCCACGGAGGGCUAGCCUUACUCGGGGUAGAUCUUCACGAAGUAGGCGAUCUCCUUGCCCUUACAAACUUCUUGGUUCAACUCCACAUCUCGACGGAGGCUCCCAAGCGACACCUAACCAAUCUAGGAGGCACCACCCUCCAAAAGGUAAUAGAUGGUGUUGAUGAUGAUGAACUCCUUGCUCUUGUGCUUCAAAUGAUAAUCUCCCCAACACUCAACUCUCCUCACUGAUUUGGCUGUGGUGGAAGAAAGGAUUGAGUGGAAAGCAACUUGGGAAGACUAUAGAUCAAGCUUCAUAUGGUGGGAGUGGAGCUACUUGAUCUCAACACAAGGGUAGGUAGUUUUCUUCUCAGAAAUGUAAGGUAGGAGUGGUAGUACUUUCUGAUGGCUCUCUCCACGAAUGAAGAGGGGGUGGAGGGGUAUUUAUAGCCUCCACACAAAAUCCAACCGUUACACACAUUUGACCAAUCUCGGUCAGACCGAAGUUGACAACUCGGUGAGACCGAAAGUUCAAAUCAUGUGAACGUUGGGAUUUUCGGUGGGACCGAAAAUACAAACUCGGUGAGUCCGAUUCGUCCAAAGACAAGAGCUUGCCAAUCUCGGUGGGACCGACUUCAUCAUCUCGGUGACACCGAUUUGAUGACAGAAGGUUACAGAAGCUUGGCAACUCAAGUUUCGGUGAGACCAAGUUAAGAAUCGGAAAAUCCGAGAUUUCUAGGGUUUGGCUUUGUGGCUGAGGUGGUUCAUCUCGGUGUGACUGGGUUUGGAAAAUCGGUGGGACCGAGAUUACUUAUGAGUGUAUUAUGGAAGUGAGAGUUGCUGAUAGUUUAGGAGAUGUAUCACUAAGCACUUUGAGCGACCAGAUCAUUAUCAUAACCUCAUCCCCUUUUAAUAGUAUUGGCUUUCCUAUAGACUCAAUGUGAUCUUGGAUCACUAAACCAAAAUGGAGUCUUGAGCUUUUGCCAAUGCUUGCCUUAGCAUUUUGAGGGGUCCACCUCUUCAGUCCUUUUGCCAUGCCAAUGUGCUUGACUUUCCUGAAACAUACUUGAUAAAAGCAUUAGUCCAACCACAAAGUAUGUUGUCAUUAAUUACCAAAACCACCCAGGGAGCAAAUGUGCUUUCAACU
rnacentral:lncRNA from 1 species